GAUGAACGCUGACAGAAUGCUUAACACAUGCAAGUCAACUUGAAUUUGGGUUUUUAACUUAGGUUUGGGUGGCGGACGGGUGAGUAACGCGUAAAGAACUUGCCUCACAGCUAGGGACAACAUUUGGAAACGAAUGCUAAUACCUAAUAUUAUGAUAAUAGGGCAUCCUAUAAUUAUGAAAGCUAUAAGCGCUGUGAGAGAGCGUUGCGUCCCAUUAGCUAGUUGGAGAGGUAACGGCUCACCAAGGCGAUGAUGGGUAGCCGGCCUGAGAGGGUGAUCGGCCACAAGGGGACUGAGACACGGCCCUUACUCAUACGGGAGGCAGCAGUGGGGAAUAUUGGACGAUGGACCGAGAGUCUGAUCCAGCAAUUCUGUGUGCACGAUGAAGUUUUUCGGAAUGUAAAGUGCUUUCAGUUGGGAAGAAACAAAUGACGGUACCAACAGAAGAAGUGACGGCUAAAUACGUG
rnacentral:rRNA from 1 species